CUUGAAAUAUCCAGAUCCAUUAUAAUAAUUAAAAGUUAGUGGUCAAUUUGUUUAGUUUCCAUGCAAAUAAUCUUGUAAAGCUGUUCAAAUUCCCAAAGCAAAAUAGAUAUUUAUAUUGUUAGGCCUAUAUAUUUUUCGAUUUAGUGGUGCGAGUAACUUGUACCUGUUUUUUUGUGAGAUUCACGUGUAACUUUCAUACUAUUAAAAAGUCAAAGAGGUUAUUUUUGAAAGACGAGGCGGAUAUUCUCGACUUUUCGGCGCGAAACACGUUUUGAAGACAGACAGUUCUCAACUGUUCUCCGUGCUCGACGUCGAAUUUCUUUGCUUGGUUUAAGACAUUUCAAUGAGAGUGAAAGUGGCCUGAUAUUACAUGCAGAUGUGAGUGUUUUUAAAAUCUUUUGUUUCAUUUUAUCAAAUUUAUUUAUUUAUAUAUCAUUCUAAUUUUUUUGUUCUCUUUCAGGUUUCUGCGACUGCAGCUGAUGUAGAGAAGAUGCCACAUCUACCUGCCAGCCCUCGUCUCUAUGUGGGAGGGCAGAGAACUGUACUGAACGCUGGAUGAUUACCCUAGAGAGUCGUGUUGUUUGUGAGGGCAUACAACCAAGAUUCCUGACUGCAAUAGCAACCAUGUUUGCAAUGUUCUACGUCUUCAAUCUUAAGUAUCCAGAGGAGGCAUGUGGCACCUCGGAAUUCAUUCAAAGACGAUUCGUUGGGAUAAACCCUGAAAGAGGUACGAAGACCUGCAGAGGCAAGGUGGUUUCAAAGAAGACUGGAAAACUUGUCAGCAAGAAGUCUGCCACUGUCAAUCCCAAAGUUGCUUCUCUCCUGAAGAACCUCAUCGAUUUCGAAUGGAACUUCGUCUAGAUCUGGAUUUCCUCUCAGACCAGAUGUGUUAAAAGCUGAUGUGGGACGUUUUGCCAGUUUUUUUGCCUCUUCCUACGUUUUUUCACCAAUUGGUUCUCUUGUCCUCUCAGAUCGGGAUUUCCUCUCAGGCCAGAUGUUUCAAAAGCUGAGGUGGGACGUGUUGGCUGUUUUUUGCCUCUUCCUACAGUUUUUUCACCCAUUGGAUCUCUUGUCCUCUCAGGCCAGAUCUUUUGGCUGUUUUUUGCCUCUGUCAAGGAUUUUUCAUCCAUUGGUUCCUUAAUAUUUUCCUCUCAGACUCAGAAUUCCUCUCUUGCCUGGAUGCUGAUGUGACAUGUUGAAUGUAAGGUUUCUUUGUUUGCCUACUGUUUCCUCACAUUUUACAAUGUAUUUUCUGUGAC